GGAAGGAAGGAGAGAGGUAGGCAGGAAGUACGGGAAAGUGUGAUGAAGGACGGGAGGGAGGAGGGAAGGGAAGACGUGAGGAGUGAAGCAGAAAGGGAGGGAAGAUGGAAGGAGGUAGGAAGAGAGGAGGGAAGCAGGAAGGAAGGGAGGGUGGGAGGAGGGAAGGAAGGAGAGAGAGAGGCGGGAAGGAAGGGAAGUGGGAGGAAGGAAGGACGAAGGGAGGGCGAAAAAAUGCCCCGCUGGGGCCCAGGGAAAAGGAAGGUGCUGGAGGGAGGGGAAAGAUUGCGAGGUGGCAGAAAAAAAGGAAGAGAAGGCUUCCACCAGAGGGAGCCGGGAGAAGGAGAGGAAGGGGCAUGGAGCUCCAGCGAGGGAUGAGCCGGGCUGAUGGGGGAGGGAGGCCCGGGAGUUAGGAGCCUGGAAGCCGGAGGAGGGACGGUUGGAUGUUGCCUGGAGGCAAAGAUGGGCUGGCUGGGCUGAUGGACAGGUGCAGAAGCUAUCCUUCCCCGCUAAGAUCCCGGCUCACACGAGCCUGCUGUGGGCGGACUCGGUACCACUUGGGCUCUCGUCCCCCCCACCCCAGAUUACAGAGAAGGAAGCUAAGGCAGAGGGCGGGUCAGUGAAUCGGUCUGCGCCCCACAGCCAAGAGGCGGCUAAGGUUGGAUUUGAACUCGCGACUCCUUGGCUCGGCGCCCAGUGGCGCCCCCUAGCGGCCCCGUUAGGCCUCCGCUUCCCUGAGGGUAAAACGUGGGCUUAGUUCGGAUAGGGAUCUCAAAGCACCUUGGGCCCAGACCCUCGGCAUGAAUGGGGGGAGCUUUGGGGCUGGGGGGCUCGGGGGAAUUAGGCCCCAAUCCUAACAAUCUGCCCGAAGAAUUGGGCGAGGAGGGGGAAAGAGAGGGUAGUCCCCAGAGGGCGUGGCCUUGUGUCCCCUCACACACACCUCGGGCUGGGCGGAAGCGGCGGACUCCUUCUUCCGGGGCCUUCUUUCCAGCCGGAACUCUUUUGCCGGGAGCGAGCAGCUUCACAGUCCUCGGGGUCCGCUCAGUACGGAAGGCGAGAGGGGCCACCUGCGCUGCGCUGGUCCUUGCCCUGGGGAAGCGGCGCCCCCAGCCCACCCCCACGGAGCCGGCCCUGGCGCUCUGGGGGCUGUGGAGAAGGCUUGACUUCCCCAGAUCUGCGGGGGACCUGCCGGCCAUGCCUCGCGGGGCCGCCCCGCCCCCUGGCCCUGCGCACCACCUCCUGCCCCCGGCUGGCCCGGGCUCCCCUCCGGGGUCCUGCGCCCCAGGCCACCGGGUGGGGCGGCGUGAGCCAGGCUCUCCCCUUGGGCCCCUCCUUUCUGUCAUUCUCAUCCCACAGGCAUGCCCACCGCCCCCUAUUCCAAGCCUUCACCUCAUCCUGCCUGCUCCUCUCAAGUCACUGAUGGGCAAAAGCGUAUUAAAUGCUUGCCCCAGGAGCUGCUCCACCAAAUCUUUCAUCCGCUCGUUCCGGGACCGUCACUUCCAGUCUCAACGCGUUGCCCAGCGGAUCCAUGACCUCAGCCGUGUGGCUCUAAGCCGGCGGCCCAUCCUGUGGAGCUCUUUUGUCCACAACCCACGGAGAGAUUGCAGCAUGGGUCCACCCACUGUGCUUCCUCCCGUCCUAAAGAGAUUGGCAUCGUUUGGGCAGUCCUUGGGGCUCCCUGCUGCCAUGUGA
ensembl:lncRNA